rnacentral:rRNA from 1 species
GAUCCUGGCUCAGGAUGAACGCUAGCUACAGGCUUAACACAUGCAAGUCGAGGGGCAGCAUGAGGUAGCAAUACCUUGAUGGCGACCGGCGCACGGGUGAGUAACGCGGUAUGCAACCUGCCCGAUACCGGGGUAUAGCCCAUGGAAACGUGGAUUAACACCCCAUAGUACUUUUAUCCUGCAUGGGAUGUGAGUUAAAUGUUCAAGGUAUCGGAUGGGCAUGCGUCCUAUUAG